UACGUAGGGUGCGAGCGUUUGUCCGGAAUUAUUGGGCAUAAAGAGCUCGUAGGCGGUUUGUUGCGUCGACUGUGAAAACCUGGGGCUUAACUCUGGGCUUGCAGUCGAUACGGGCAGACUUGAGUUCGGUAGGGGAGACUUGGAAUUCCUGGUGUAGCGGUGAAAUGCGCAGAUAUCAGGAGGAACACCGGUGGCGAAGGCGGCAUCCUGGACCGACACUGACGCUGAGGAGCGAAAAGCCAGGGGAGCAAAACGGGG
rnacentral:rRNA from 1 species